rnacentral:lncRNA from 1 species
UGACAUAUUUCGACUCCAUUAAGAUUUGGAUUUGGUCACAUAAAUACACACUCGAGUUUAAGAAGGUAAUUUAUUAAAAGCGCACCUAAAGCGACUAACGCGUUAUUAUGUUUGGGGAGGGCCGUGAAAUUCACUAAAUGGCCCAUCCCGAAUUCUAAAAAUUAAUACAAUAUAUUAUUGAGAGCCCCGCAAUUUUGCAUUAUAUUUGACGAGGCUUAUCUCAUUCUUAUUAUUUAAAAGGCAAAUCCUAAAGUAACUAUGAUUUUCUAUUUUUGUUUGUUUUUGAAAUAAAAGAAAGAGUCCUAAUUGAUUAAUAUGACUUAAGAGUUACUUUAUUUGAAAACUAUGACUUUCAUUUAAUUCAGGCCUUCAGCGCUUUAGGGGCCUCCGAAUAUUCCCAAGAACGGAGCGAAUUGCUGAGGUAUUUAUCAAAACUUUUUAUCACACCAGGACUUCACAUGCAUAGGAGUUUGCUCAGCUUCUAGUUCUAAACUACAGCACUACACUUCAUUGAAAGAAUUCAAGUUCAGAAUUUAACAUUCCAAGACAAAUCCAGCAAGUCAUAUCAAUUAGAAACAGUCCUAAAUAAACAAUUCCUGAUUCAAUACGACUCAAAUAAAAUAAAGCUGGACAACUACAAAUCAAUUGAUUGAUUAUAACUGCAUAUAUUAAAUCAAGCACAAAUCUGGAAUGACACUUCAUUUUAUUCCAAUUCAAAGCUACAUCAGGGUGAUCUUAAAUGUGUACCUGGACAGAAAUUCAGAAAAAGGAGAAUAAGUCAGCAUAUAUUCAAUCAAGCACAAAUCUGGAAUAACACUUCAUUUUAUUCCAAUUCAAAGCUACAUCAGGGUGAUCUUAAAUGUGUACCUGGACAGAAAUUCAGAAAAAGGAGAAUAAGUCAACAGCAAAUAACAGCAGAGAUCCAACACUCAGCAGAUCCAGAAAACUCAACCACAAACACACCAAUUAAACUCGAAUAAAUUUGAAAAUGUACCCAGGCACUCAAAAACUCUUCAGCAAUUAGACAGAAACUAACAAAUCAACCCAGAGGCUAUAGGCUCGAAUGCACCAGAAUAUUUCAGCCAACCUAAAACUCAUCCAAAGCUUACUUAAUUGGACCAAAACUACUUGAAAUCAAAACAGUGCACUCCAGAGAAGAGCUUCAGUAAUCAGAAAAGAAAAGAGUUGAUCAAAAUUGACCAAAACUCAAUGUAACAGUGCCUUUUUUUAAUUUUUCUAUUGUGUUU